AAGUCGUAACAAGGUUUCCGUAGGUGAACCUGCGGAAGGAUCAUUAACACGUAUCCACGUAUCUACCUCUUGUGAAUUUAUUAUUGUUUGUAGUUGUUUCAGAUAUGACUAAGGAAGCAGAUGACCAUGUCGUUGGUUGUGAAAACAGCCACGUUCUGCUUGCCUAUCCAACCUAUUUUGCUGAGUGCUAGUGUAUGCUAGCAUAAAAACUCCUUAGGAUGGGUAUCUGAGAGAACUCGAAUCAUGGUGGUUAUUAAUCUAUUAACCCCUUUUUUUAUUUUAUUGUCUUAGUGAGUGUUCAUUCUUUUUUUUUCAUUAAAAAGAGGUUGACCUCCCAAAAAAUUAACACUAUACAACUCUUAGCAACGGAUAUCUCGGUUCUCC
rnacentral:misc_RNA from 1 species